GGAGAGGUCGCAUAGUGGUCUAUUGCGCCCGCUUGGAAAGCGGGUAGGCCUGCAAGGGUCUCGGGGGUUCGAAUCCCCCCCUCUCCGCCA
rnacentral:tRNA from 1 species